UCUACGGUUCCCCCAGAUGCAGCAGGGGAGGCUGGUCGGUGCGGUGGUCCCAGGCUUCCCGUCCGUGCUGCCUGUUAGCCCGCAGCCCGCACGAUUCAAAACACGGGCACGUCACUUCCUCCCAGUCUCAUCGAGCGCAGCUUAUCUCUCGCCGCCCGCAGUAUUUCAUCAGGAAAUAUGGUACACGCUGCAGAUAAAACAAACAAUCCCUGGUCCCUGAGCACAUUGUCGUUUCCCCUUGGGCCCAUUAUCAGAUCCCCUCUGUAGGCUCCCAGCAGCUGCAGUUAUUGUGGAAGUCUCUACUUUUAUAGCCCCAUGAUGUCUGUGACAACACUGGCUUUUAUGAUCCCAGCGCCAGCCGGGGCCUUUCCUUCAUGCUUCAGGAUGGAUUACUCCGGCCCCUGUUGAAACAGAGCCUUGUGGUGUGACAAGGGAUCCAAUGUGGGUGUUCAUGAGAGGUGCCACACCUGAUUACAGAUGACAGUGUACGACUGUCAUCUGCGGUGCCAGGACCGUUCGGAUCCAAGAUCCUUCACUGCAGCUUUGAUGGUUUCAAAGCCUUCCUUAACAGCACCAUACAAAAGGAGGCGUUCAGGAAAUAAAAUGCAUCGGAGGGGACCUGAGAGGAGGACACACGUUAACCCAGAUAGACUGUGACAAAACACCAUUACCUUCCCCUGUUCACACUCUGACAUACAGGACAGCUAGUAGUCCCCUGUCUCUGAGGAAUCCAUCUGAACGCGACACACUGGCAUGCAUGGAUGUUGACUCCGCAACAGCAUCCCUUAAGCAACUAAUGACAUAAUGAUAUACAUAAAUCUAUGAAAAGGAAAAGUUACUAAUGUUUAGUUUACAUUACUGCACCAGCAUUUUACUUUGCUUGAGGUGAAGCCAAUGCUGUAUGGUAGCAUUGUUAUUUAUUUUAAACUUUUGCAUUGUCAUUAGUGAGACAGUUGUUGGGGUGAAGUUAGCAUUAGCUGCUUCACAUUCUGUAACGUGUAACUUAUCUCAACUGAUUAUGGGCUAUACAGUAUGUAUAUUGGAGUUUAAAAAAAGUAAUGAAUAAUAGGGUAAAGUAUGUUUCAAUAUACUAUACAUCAAUGCAUCAUGUGUAAUAUCUAUUUGGCACCGACUUAAAAAAGUGAUUGCAGUUGUACAAUAUUAUUGCAUGGAUUAGAAUACUGUAUCAAAGUUCAGUCACAUCAAAGGGCGUCCAGUUUGCUCUCCUGCUGUACUUAAGGACUGUACAGUAUUCAUUGUCCCACUGCCUUCCAACACACAGUCUCCAGUGUGUCGAUGCUGAAUGGUGACACAGCUCAGAUGGAUGUGACGCCAGUGGUCCGACCACAGUGUGCUGGUGUCAUAACAUGGAUAUAUAACCACCGUCGUCCUUACAUCAGGCUGACUAAAUGGACAAAAAUGCCAGGGCAGCAAAAAAGAGGCGAAGAAACCCAGGGCUUCAUUAACAGAACCUUCCCAGCAUGCUUUGCAAUGACAAAUGAUUGACUUGGAACAAUAUCUAAGGCGAUCAGGAUAAAGUACCAGCCAUUUCAAGGCUCAGCAAAAUUCAAAUUCUAAUUAGACCUUGCACCACAUUCCAAAUAAAAAUGGGUCCCUAGGUGGUUUACCCUAUCAGGUGUCUCUCCCAGACCACUGAAACAAAACGAAUAAAGAAAAUGAUUAAAGCGAUAACAAAGGCAUAAAAUUCAAAUUAAAGCAGCAUCACAUCUGGGAUCUGUAUGUCACUGCACUGCCGUUCCCACUCUCUCCCUCUGUUUCCCUGGCGCUCUCCAGCGCCUUCACACACACACACGUGUACACACAGCAUUCCCUUCAUGCUGCAUAAGGGCAAACAGGGAAAAAAAAGGCAGAGCAGGAGAGAAAGAGAGCGAAAAAGCAGGGAAAUUAAAAGGUAGGGAGCGAGAACGCAAAUAGGCUCUCAGCUUUAAGGUUAUUAAUGACUCCUCAAAAAUGUGCGACUUUUCCAAUCUCUCUGAGAAGCGCUUGAAGGAGCCUGCAGAUGAAGCUGACCUUCACAAUGUUCUUUGGUCUUUAGUUAAGAAAUUCACUCACCAUUAUGGCAUCAUUAGGGAAACAAGGAUAAAAUUACUCCAUGGUUAAUGACCUAUAGGAUCCCCACCAAAAUUUGUUUCAGAUCUAAUAAAACUGAGCUUAACACACUCGAAUGAAUUAUGAGGACUGCUACGCGGGGGUAUUAAAAUGUGGGGAAAUAGAUUUUCUGAAGCUAGGAGGACUGGACUUUUCGAAUCAGAUAGUAGAAUGGAAUUUUCUGGGCAAUAAAUUCUACCAUGUCUCAAUUUCAUUUUUUUUUUACCUCAGAAUUUUUCAGGCUAUGAUGGAAUCUGUGAGUGGGAUGGCCUCUAAAAAUUCAUUGCCAAUUGCCGUCUCCUCCUCUAUCCCCUUAAGGUAGAUGGAUUGAUGGAUGAAUGGCUAAAUGGGCAAAUAAGUGGAGAAAAGCAUAGUCGAACGAAAACUCGAUGUAUGAUGGAAAUAAAUGAUUAGAUACACGCACAGAUACUUAAAUCUCCCAGCAGGCGCCGGGAAAAGAUGUGAUAAGUGCAGAAAUAAAGUGUCUUCAAAAAGUAUAUAAAAAUCGGAUUAUUUUAUGUGUUUUCUCUAACUUGCCUCUAAAUUUAGUGCAUGCCAAACUGGUCAUUAGCAUAAUGCUGGGGCAGCUGAGAGGACACACAGAAACUCAUUAAAGAGGACGACAUAAAGCUGCAGGCAACGGUGCCUCAGCAACACGCAGCACAUAAACAUACAUCAAAGUGAACAUACUAAUACACCUAUGAAACUUUAUAUGAAACGUGAAAAAAGCGGCGUUCUAUGAGCAGCUCUGCUUUAGCGCGGCUGCAGCCUGCGAGAAGGGGCUCGUGAGCUAAUGGCAUUUGCUCUCUUUAAACUUUAAUCUUUCCUAUUAAUUCCCUGCAACUGGAGAAUGUGCGAGAGUUAAUGUUCCAUGAACGUGUUUCUCACUCUGCAAUCUCUUCAAGCUAAUUACCUUCAGGUGCUAAAUGGGGGGAAAUUGCAAUCCAUUUGGAAGGGAGAAAUUUCACCUCCCCGUUGCCUAUGUAGCGCCGUGGAUGCCGUUAAAAAGAAAGAAAAUCAAACAUAAGACGCUCGGGCCGGAGAACGCGCAAUCAAAAAAUGGACGCUGUGCGCGGGGCUGUGAUUGGCUGCCUCUUCCCAGGUAGCUCUGGGAGAGUAAAUGGCUUCCUGUGCUCGCCCGCCUCGCCGCUUAUGUCGCAGGUCACUCGGAGGUCAGCAGGUGCCGGCGGUGGACAACGGCGCCGAACAGAUGUUUGAUUGACGCGGAUCACGCAGAUUGGCCAUCAAAGUUUUCUGAUGAGAACGGAGAGGCUCUCGGAACGGCCAUCACGAAGGGCGAACGCCGCCGAGACGUGGGGAAGUCAAAAUAGGAAUUAAAAAGAGAUUAAGUUUACGCCACUGAUUCACGGCGGCCUGUACGCAACAUUAAGUCGCGGGGAGUGACGCGGUAUUCGUCAAUGACAGGAUCAAGUUUACAAAUGGCACGCGAGCGGCUUUUUUUUCGGAGUCAAUCGCUAAUCAGUAACGCAGGAUGAACAGGAUCGUUGCAGACAAAUAGCUCUGAUAAGUUUUACCUUUUAAAGGGCCGGCGUG